CCCUUGUGGAGGAGGACGCCGAAGGUGGGGCUAAUGACUGGGGUGAAGUCGUAACAAGGUAGCCGUACCGGAAGGUGCGGCUGGAUCACCUCCUAACAGGGAGACAACAAAAUGUUAAAUAUUAAUUUUGUCACCUUAGGUCGAUCGGUAUCUCACAUUCUUAAUUCAAUUUAAGGAUUUCAUUUCCUAAGUUUUUCUAGGUCACACCCAAUCAUUUUUCCUGGGCCAUUAGCUCAGGUGGUUAGAGCGCACCCCUGAUAAGGGUGAGGUCCCUGGUUCAAGUCCAGGAUGGCCCAUAUCUCUAUGUUGGGGGUAUAGCUCAGUUGGUAGAGCGCCUGCUUUGCAAGCAGGAUGUCAGCGGUUCGAGUCCGCUUACCUCCACUGAUCACCACCUCUUCCGUAGUAGUUUAUAGAAGGGAAAUUUUUGAGUUGUGAUCAAAUUCUGAACGAAUCUAGCUUCCUAAUGAAACCAUUAAGAUGCUGGACUCAUUGAAUUAAUUUCAUUGUUUUCAGAGAACCUUGACAACUGCAUAGAUUAUUUUUAAAGACAAUAAGCAUCUUUAAUGAUGCAGAUUUAUUAUUUGUGCGAAUGCAUUAAUAACAAUUCUAUUAAGCUGAUGCUUCAAUUAUGAAGUUAUUGGUCAAGCUACAAAGGGCUCACGGAGGAUACCUAGGCACACAGA
rnacentral:misc_RNA from 1 species